rnacentral:rRNA from 1 species
AGCAGUCGCCACGGGAAUACGGAGGGUGCAAGCGUUAAUCGGAAUUACUGGGCGUAAAGCGCACGCAGGCGGUCUGACAAGUCAGAUGUGAAAUCCCCGGGCUUAACCUGGGAACUGCAUUUGAAACUGUCAGGCUGGAGUCUUGUAGAGGGGGGUGGAAUUCCAGGUGUAGCGGUGAAAUGCGUAGAGAUCUGGAGGAAUACCGGUGGCGAAGGCGGCCCCCUGGACAAAGACUGACGCUCAGGUGCGAAAGCGUGGGGAGCAAACAGGAUUAGAUACCCCUGUAGUCCCUGUCUCUUAUAA